UUGUUGUUCUGAUUUGAAAUUUGUCUUCAACGGAUAGUGUAUGUCAUUCGAAACAGUAAAUAAAUUUAAGCUAAGUGAUUGGUGUUCACUGCUUUUCUUCAAAUUUUUCCUCGGAUCAUAUGAAACUCUUUCUCAUCAGACUCCUUUUGUGCAAUAUUUCUUCUUUUCAAUUGUCAUUUUCUUCAGUGUCGAAUAUAUCAUAUAUUCUUAAAUGUUAUUAAGUUUACACUUGUGUAGCAUUCAUUGUGCCUUUAAUGCUUCGAAUAUUCAUUAUAUCAAAAACAAAGUCAGAUAUCGAAAUCUCUUUAUCGGAAU
rnacentral:lncRNA from 1 species